CAAUCUCGAUAUUACGUGUGGGGGUCCUUAAGAACGGCAAAAAGAGCAAACUUGGCAACCCGUUUCAGGAGCAUAAAGCGCGUCCUCUGUUCCUUCUUUCCAGGCCUUUCCAUAAUCCCCAUCGCAUCCCUGAGACAGCCCAGUGCUCCAUACUGGGUUUGUCAGCAAACUGAGGAGGCAGAUCAGAGCAGUGGUAUUACCCAUUCCAUCCUUAGCUGCCAGGUUGCUCUGUGGUGGAAGAGAUCCCUGCAACAAACAUGUCAAACAUGCAUCCCAAGCCUCUGUCAACUAACACUUUAUGGGUUUUGUGAGCUCGUUGAAGAAACCUGUGAACGUAACCAGCCACAGGGUGGUGCUGGAACAAAGACCAAGGAUGACAUUCCCCUCUGGUUUUGGUUAGAGCUCAUAUUGGCACAAAAAUAAACAUUUCUGGAAGACAAACAACAA